GUCCAUGCCGUAAACGAUGUCUACUAGCCGUUGGGGCCUUUGAGGCUUUAGUGGCGCAGCUAACGCGAUAAGUAGACCGCCUGGGGAGUACGGUCGCAAGACUAAAACUCAAAUGAAUUGACGGGGGCCCGCACAAGCGGUGGAGCAUGUGGUUUAAUUCGAUGCAACGCGAAGAACCUUACCUGGCCUUGACAUCCAAAGAAUUUUGCAGAGAUGCGAAAGUGCCGAAAGGAGCUUUGAGACAGGUGCUGCAUGGCUGUCGU
rnacentral:rRNA from 1 species